CGUAGGUGGCGAGCGUUGUCCGGAUUACUGGGUGUAAAGGGAGCGCAGGCGGGGAGGCAAGUCAGCUGUGAAAUAUACGGGCUUAACUCGUAAAUUGCAGUUGAAACUGUUCUUCUUGAGUGAAGUAGAGGUAGGCGGAAUUCCGAGUGUAGCGGUGAAAUGCGUAGAGAUUCGGAGGAACACCAGUGGCGAAGGCGGCCUACUGGGCUUUAACUGACGCUGAGGCUCGAAAGUGUGGGAGCAAACAGGAUU
rnacentral:rRNA from 1 species